rnacentral:rRNA from 1 species
UGGGGAAUAUUGCACAAUGGGCGCAAGCCUGAUGCAGCCAUGCCGCGUGUAUGAGGAAGGCCUUCGGGUUGUAAAGUACUUUCAGCGGGGAGGAAGGGAGUAAAGUUAAUACCUUUGCUCAUUGACGUUACCCGCAGAAGAAGCACCGGCUAACUCCGUGCCAGCAGCCGCGGUAAUACGGAGGGUGCAAGCGUUAAUCGGAAUUACUGGGCGUAAAGCGCACGCAGGCGGUUUGUUAAGUCAGAUGUGAAAUCCCCGGGCUCAACCUGGGAACUGCAUCUGAUACUGGCAAGCUUGAGUCUCGUAGAGGGGGGUAGAAUUCCAGGUGUAGCGGUGAAAUGCGUAGAGAUCUGGAGGAAUACCGGUGGCGAAGGCGGCCCCCUGGACGAAGACUGACGCUCAGGUGCGAAAGCGUGGGGAGCAAACAGG